rnacentral:rRNA from 1 species
UACGUAGGGUGCGAGCGUUAAUCGGAAUUACUGGGCGUAAAGCGUGCGCAGGCGGUGGCUCAAGCCAGGCGUGAAAUCCCCGGGCUUAACCUGGGAAUGGCGUUUGGGACUGGGUCGCUAGAGUGUGGCAGAGGGAGGUGGAAUUCCACGUGUAGCAGUGAAAUGCGUAGAGAUGUGGAGGAACACCGAUGGCGAAGGCGCACAUCUGGCCCGAUACUGACGCUGAGGCGCGAAAGCUAGGGGAGCAAACGGG